rnacentral:rRNA from 1 species
GACGAACGCUGGCGGCGUGCUUAACACAUGCAAGUCGAACGGAGUGGCGAACGGGUGAGUAACACGUGGGUGAUCUGCCUUGCACUUCGGGAUAAGCUUGGGAAACUGGGUCUAAUACCGGAUAGUGCAAGAUGAGCUCGCGGCCUAUCAGCUUGUUGGUGGGGUAAUGGCCUACCAAGGCGGCGACGGGUAGCCGGCCUGAGAGGGCGUACGGCCACAUUGGGACUGAGAUAGGGCACAGAAUCCUACGGGAGGCAGCAGUGGGUAAUAUUGCAAACUGGGCGGAAGCCAGAUGCAGCGACGCCGGGGGGGGGAUGAAGGCCUUCGGGUUGUAAACUCCUGUCGACAGGGACGCGGUACCUGUAUAAGAAGCGCCGGCUAACUACGUGCCAGCAGCCGCGGUAAGAC